CCUACGGGAGGCAGCAGUGAGGAAUAUUGGUCAAUGGACGAGAGUCUGAACCAGCCAAGUAGCGUGAAGGAUGACUGCCCUAUGGGUUGUCAACUUCUUUUAUAUGGGAAUAAAAUGUUCCCCGUGUGGGCUUUUGUAUGUACCAUAUGAUUAAGGAUCGGCUAACUCCUUGCCAGCAGCCGCGGUAUAACGGAGGGUGCGAGCGUUAAUCGGACUUACUGGGCGUAAAGCGCUCGUAGGCGGUAUGUCAAGUCAAGGGUGAAAUCCCCGCGAUCAACGUGGGAACUGCCUUUGAAACUGGCAAACUGGAGUGUGUGAGAGGAUAGUGGAAUUCCAGGUGUAGGAGUGAAAUCCGUAGAUAUCUGGAGGAACAUCAGUGGCGAAGGCGACUAUCUGGCACAUAACUGACGCUGAGGAGCGAAAGCGUGGGUAGCAAACAGGAUUAGAUACCCUGGUAGUC
rnacentral:rRNA from 1 species